UACAGCCAUAUCACAUUGAAACACUGGUUCUGAUAUGAUCACAGAAGUUAAGCAACAUCAAGUCUGGUUAGUACUUAGCUGGGUGACCACUUAGAAAUAUCAUGUGCUGCAAGC